UACGGGGGGGGCAAGCGUUGUUCGGAAUUACUGGGCGUAAAGGGUUCGUAGGUGGCUUGUUAAGUCAGACGUGAAAUCCCUCGGCUCGAACCGGGGAACUGCGUCUGAGACUGAUGAGCUCGAGUGCAGGAGAGGAACGCGGAAUUCCAGGUGUAGCGGUGAAAUGCGUAGAUAUCUGGAGGAACACCGGUGGCGAAGGCGGCGACCUGGACAGGCACUGACACUCAACUGCGAAAGCGUGGGGAGCAAACAGG
rnacentral:rRNA from 1 species